AAAGUUCGGGAUCCGCCAAUUUUUGUCUUAUCCGAUAUUAUAUUCUAAAUUCUUCACUGACUAAUUGUCAAAACUAUAAAUAACUCUUCCGUUUAAAAUUAAAAAUACCUGAAUCGUCAAUCAACAAUUUGAACCACUUUAAUUCUUUUCUUUUAUGUUUGGGAAAUUAAGCCGCUGAGACUUCACGAACCGUUCCCUUUUCAUUCAUUGUGCACACCAGACCAGAAUAUAUGUAUACCCUGUCAUAUAUUUGUUUAAAAAAA
rnacentral:lncRNA from 1 species